UUUAGAGAUUGUUUCAGGCAUUACAUUUUGUUCAAAGACUAUGAAGACAGUUUUUUUUUCCAAUCCCAGUAACAUAUACUUGCUAUAAUAAAACCAUAAAGCUGAAUUCAAAGAUAUCAGCUUUCAUUUCAUGUUGAUUUUUCUUGCUCUAAAGAUUGAUAAUGUCUAGAUCUCACACUAUCCUAGAGUUUCGCUCACUGAUGUUAUGUCAUCAGAAGACAUGCAGCUACCCUGAGGGUGAAUAAAGAGACAACGACAUGAAUGGUAGGAGGUAAAAAAAAGAGGCAACGAGCGAGAAGAAGCUAAUGCAUGGCGUACACUGCACGUGAGUUUCAUGCUGAUGGUUCCCUAGGCUUUAAUAACACAUACACACGCAGACACACACACAUUUUCCUCUAGCACACCUUGUCCUCAGCAAAGUCUUCAUCAGGGUUGUUAUAUUUAUGUUCUCUGAAUGGACAUCGUGUAGCGAAGUAAUCAGACUCGAUCAGAUGACCAGCCCCCAAGCCGAGGCACAGACAGAAAAGAGAGAGAGAAGAAUGAGAGAGAGAGAUGGAAACGCAGGGAGAUGAGAGAAGAGGGAAGGGAGGGAGGUGGAUCUCGGAGGUGAGGAUUGUGCCUUACUUGACUGAGCUUGUCUUUGUGAGGAUACAAUUGUUACUGUUUUAACUCUUUGUAAAGGUCUAUUUUGUGUGUCGUUUCACAGAAACGUGUUGCUCAAUAGUGUGUCUGUCUUCAAUGAAGAAACACUGAAAUAACAAGUUUCACCAGUUUCAGAUCACUAACAGCGUUGACUGCAUUAUAUAGAGACACAGACGAUUUGCUCCUCGAGUCGAGACAUGGAGAGGACAGAGAAUAAAGAGUCCACCAUCUCCCCACAAAAACAAACAGUGAAAAACAGAUCCAAGUCAACUGAAGAAGUGCAGCAAGCCAAAAAGGCCUUUCAUACACCACAAAAAUCUCUGCCGGCCAAACCAGAGACCGAACAACUAGAGGAGACGGCAGAACUGAGUGCCUCAUCACAGGAGUUUAAAUGAUUGCCGGAUUCAAACUUCUGAGCGCUGAGAUUUAGAGAGAUCGACUGGGAUUAUGGGUCAAAAACAAGAGGAUGAUUCAAUGUCUUUAUUCAUGGAUUUGUGAUUCCGUUUAGCUAGCAUAGUAGAAAAGGAAUAAAAUAAUUAUGUGUAACUUCUUGACUUUGUAUUAGUAUUAUGUUAGUGAAAUAAAUGCAGAACUAGAUAUAACACAGUACAUUGUUUGUUUGUGUGUGUGUGUGUGUGUGUGUGUACUUAAUUUUAUUGAGGUAAUCCUAGGCAUUCAGUAGAGUUAAAUUACAUUAAAAUAUGUAAAAACUAUUUAAAUGACUACAUUUGUAAU
rnacentral:lncRNA from 1 species